rnacentral:hammerhead_ribozyme from 1 species
AUCCAGUUGACGACUCCUAAAUGGGACGAAGCACUUGUCCUGGAU